rnacentral:tRNA from 1 species
GGGGAUUUAGCUCAGUGGUAGAGCGCUUGCCUAGCAAGAGUGCAAGGCCCUGGGUUCAGUCCUCA